rnacentral:rRNA from 1 species
AUUGAACGCUGGCGGCAGGCCUAACACAUGCAAGUCGAGCGGUAGAGAGGUGCUUGCAUCUCUUGAGAGCGGCGGACGGGUGAGUAAUGCCUAGGAAUCUGCCUAGUGGUGGGGGAUAACGUUCGGAAACGGACGCUAAUACCGCAUACGUCCUACGGGAGAAAGCGGGGGAUCUUCGGACCUCGCGCCAUUAGAUGAGCCUAGGUCGGAUUAGCUAGUUGGUGAGGUAAUGGCUCACCAAGGCGACGAUCCGUAACUGGUCUGAGAGGAUGAUCAGUCACACUGGAACUGAGACACGGUCCAGACUCCUACGGGAGGCAGCAGUGGGGGAAUAUUGGACAAUGGGCGAAAGACCUGAUCCAGCCAUGCCGCGUGUGUGAAGAAGGUACUUCGGAUUGUAAAGCACUUUAAGUUUGGGAGGGAAGUGCGAUCAGGUGGAACAAUACUGGUCGUUUG